rnacentral:rRNA from 1 species
GACGAACGCUGGCGGCGUGCUUAACACAUGCGAGUCGAACGGAAAGGCCCUGCUUUUGUGGGGUGCUCGAGUGGCGAACGGGUGAGUAACACGUGAGUAACCUGCCCUUGACUUUGGGAUAACUUCAGGAAACUGGGGCUAAUACCGGAUAGGAGCUCCUGCUGCAUGGUGGGGGUUGGAAAGUUUCGGCGGUUGGGGAUGGACUCGCGGCUUAUCAGCUUGUUGGUGGGGUAGUGGCUUACCAAGGCUUUGACGGGUAGCCGGCCUGGGAGGGUGACCGGCCACAUUGGGACUGAGAUACGGCCCAGACUCCUACGGGAGGCAGCAGUGGGGAAUAUUGCACAAUGGGCGGAAGCCUGAUGCAGCAACGCCGCGUGCGGGAUGACGGCCUUCGGGUUGUAAACCGCUUUCGCCUGUGACGAAGCGUGAGUGACGGUAAUGUGUAAAGAAGCACCGGCUAACUACGUG